GAGGUAGUUACAAUAAAUCACAAUGCGGAACAAUGUUUUGCAAUUGGAUUGAGAACAACGUACAAACCUUAUCGAUAAACAAUUGGAGGGCAAGUCUGGUGCCAGCAGCCGCGGUAAUUCCAGCUCCAAUAGCGUAUAUUAACGUUGUUGCAGUUAAAAAGCUCGUAGUUGAAAUGAAGGGUAGUUGUGUAAUGAAUACAUUCGUGUAUUUUGUUAUUCUACUACCCUCCUUCUAAAUUCGAUAUAUGAGUAUUAAUUUACUUGUAUAUGGUUUUAGACAUUUACUGUGAGAAAAUUAGAGUGUUCAAAGCAGGCAUUUGCUUGAAUAUAUUAGCAUGGAAUAAUCAUGUAUGAUUUUCAUGAUGUAUUUGAUUGGUUUGGUUCAUGAGAAUAAGAUUAAAAGGGACAGUUGGGGGUAUUCAUAUUCAAUAGUCAGAGGUGAAAUUCUCGGAUUUAUGGAAGAUGAACAAUGGCGAAAGCA
rnacentral:rRNA from 1 species